CAGCCGCCGCGGUAAUACGUAUGUCACAAGCGUUAUCCGGAUUUAUUGGGCGUAAAGCGCGUCUAGGUGGUUAUGUAAGUCUGAUGUGAAAAUGCAGGGCUCAACUCUGUAUUGCGUUGGAAACUGUGUAACUAGAGUACUGGAGAGGUAAGCGGAACUACAAGUGUAGAGGUGAAAUUCGUAGAUAUUUGUAGGAAUGCCGAUGGGGAAGCCAGCUUACUGGACAGAUACUGACGCUGAAGCGCGAAAGCGUGGGUAGCAAACAGGAUUAGAUACCCCAGUAGUCCCUGUCUCUUAUACA
rnacentral:rRNA from 1 species